rnacentral:rRNA from 1 species
CAUGCAAGUCGAGCGGUAGCACAGAGAGCUUGCUCUCGGGUGACGAGCGGCGGACGGGUGAGUAAUGUCUGGGAAACUGCCUGAUGGAGGGGGAUAACUACUGGAAACGGUAGCUAAUACCGCAUAAUGUCGCAAGACCAAAGUGGGGGACCUUCGGGCCUCAUGCCAUCAGAUGUGCCCAGAUGGGAUUAGCUAGUAGGUGGGGUAAUGGCUCACCUAGGCGACGAUCCCUAGCUGGUCUGAGAGGAUGACCAGCCACACUGGAACUGAGACACGGUCCAGACUCCUACGGGAGGCAGCAGUGGGGAAUAUUGCACAAUGGGCGCAAGCCUGAUGCAGCCAUGCCGCGUGUGUGAAGAAGGCCUUCGGGUUGUAAAGCACUUUCAGCGGGGAGGAAGGCGGUGAGGUUAAUAACCUCACCGAUUGACGUUACCCGCAGAAGAAGCACCGGCUAACUCCGUGCCAGCAGCCGCGGUAAUACGGAGGGUGCAAGCGUUAAUCGGAAUUACUGGGCGUAAAGCGCACGCAGGCGGUCUGUCAAGUCGGAUGUGAAAUCCCCGGGCUUAACCUGGGAACUGCAUUCGAAACUGGCAGGCUAGAGUCUUGUAGAGGGGGGUAGAAUUCCAGGUGUAGCGGUGAAAUGCGUAGAGAUCUGGAGGAAUACCGGUGGCGAAGGCGGCCCCCUGGACAAA